rnacentral:rRNA from 1 species
GUCGAACGGAGUUAUUACGAAUGAAGUUUUCGGACGGAUUUUGUUUUAACUUAGUGGCGGACGGGUGAGUAACGCGUGAGCAACCUGCCUUUGCAUUCGGGAUAACAGCUGGAAACGACUGCUAAUACCGAAUAACGUACAUUGAUUGCAUGUUUAAUGUACCAAAGAUCCGUCGUGCGAAGAUGGGCUCGCGUCUGAUUAGAUAGUUGGUGAGGUAACGGCUCACCAAGUCAACGAUCAGUAGCCGGACUGAGAGGUUGAACGGCCACAUUGGAACUGAGAUACGGUCCAGACUCCUACGGGAGGCAGCAGUGGGGAAUAUUGGGCAAUGGGCGAAAGCCUGACCCAGCGACGCCGCGUGAGGGAAGAAGGUCUUCGGAUUGUAAACCUCUGUUGAUAGGGAAGAAGAAAGUGACGGUACCUAUCGAGGAAGUCACGGCUAACUACGUGCCAGCCGCCGCCGUAACAC